rnacentral:rRNA from 1 species
UGAGGAAUAUUGGGCAAUGCUCGAGAGAGUGACCCAGCCAUGCCGCGUGCAGGAUGACUGCCCUAUGGGUUGUAAACUGCUUUUAUACGAGAAGAAACACUCCGACGAGUCGGGGCUUGACGGUAUCGUAUGAAUAAGGAUCGGCUAACUCC